GAGCACGUAGGUGGGUUUGUAAGUCAGAUGUGAAAGCCUUCUGUUCAACGGAAGAAUUGCAUCUGAAACUGCGAGUCUUGAGUGUAGGAGGGGAGAAUGGAACUUCUGGUGGAGCGGUGAAAUGCGUAGAUAUCAGAAGGAACGCCGGCGGCGAAAGCGAUUCUCUGGCCUAUUACUGACACUCAGUGUGCGAAAGCUAGGGGAGCGAACGGGAUUAGAUACCCCGGUAGUCCUAGCCGUAAACGAUGGGCACUAAGUAGAGGGGUUUU
rnacentral:rRNA from 1 species